CAAUAGCGUAUAUUAAAGUUGUUGCGGUUAAAAAGCUCGUAGUUGGAGUUCUGCCAGGUGCCGCCUGUCCGCCCCAGUGGUGAGUACGUGGCGCGCAUUUGGCCCUUUCAAGGGGAGCGUAUCUGCACUUUAUUGUGUGGUGCGGGAUCCUUGACUUUUACUUUGAGGAAAUAGGAGUGUUCCAAGCAGGCUCUCGUCGUGCACAGCUCAGCAUGGAAUAAUAGCAUUGGACCUCGAUUCUAAGCUGUUGGUUGCCAGAAGCGAGGUAAUGAUGAAGAGGGAUAGUUGGGGGCAUUCGUAUUUAACUGUCAGAGGUGAAAUUCUUGGAUAUGUUAAAGACGGACUACUGCGAAAGCAUCUGCCAUGGAUGUUUUCAUUGA
rnacentral:rRNA from 1 species